rnacentral:rRNA from 1 species
GUUUGACAUCCUGCGAAUCCCUUGGAAACUUGGGAGUGCCUUCGGGAGCGCAGUGACAGGUGGUGCAUGGCUGUCGUCAGCUCGUGUCGUGAGAUGUUGGGUUAAGUCCCGCAACGAGCGCAACCCACGUCUUUAGUUGCCAGCAUUAAGUUGGGCACUCUAGAGAGACUGCCGGUGAUAAACCGGAGGAAGGUGUGGAUGACGUCAAGUCAUCAUGCCCCUUACAUCCUGGGCUACACACGUACUACAAUGCUACGGACAAAGGGCAGCAAACUCGCGAGAGCUAGCAAAUCCCAUAAACCGUGGCUCAGUUCAGAUCGUAGGCUGCAACUCGCCUACGUGAAGGAGGAAUCGCUAGUAAUCGCAGGUCAGCAUACUGCGGUGAAUACGUUCCCGGGUCUUGUAC